GGCGAACCGAGCGAACGUUGUUCGGAAUUACUGGGCGUAAAGGGCGCGUAGGUGGCCUUCUAAGUUGAACGUGAAAUCCCUGGGCUCAACCCAGGAACUGCGUCCAAGACUGGGAGGCUUGAAUCCGGGAGAGGGAUGCGGAAUUCCAGGUGUAGCGGUGAAAUGCGUAGAUAUCUGGAGGAACACCGGUGGCGAAGGCGGCAUCCUGGACCGGUAUUGACACUGAGGCGCGAAAGCCAGGGGAGCAAACGGG
rnacentral:rRNA from 1 species